CCUACGGGAGGCAGCAGUGGGGAAUUUUGGACAAUGGGCGCAAGCCUGAUCCAGCCAUUCCGCGUGAGUGAAGAAGGCCUUCGGGUUGUAAAGCUCUUUCGCAAGGGAAGAAAACUUAUCCUCUAACAUAGGAUGAGGUUGACGGUACCUUGAUAAGAAGCACCGGCUAACUACGUGCCAGCAGCCGCGGUAAUACGUAGGGUGCGAGCGGGCGUCAAGAUUACUGAGGGUGUAGUGUAAGUCAGAUGUGAAAUCCCCGAGCUCAACUUGGGAACUGCGUUUGAAACUACAAGACUAGAGUAGGUCAGAGGGGAGUAGAAUUCCACGUGUAGCAGUGAAAUGCGUAGAGAUGUGGAGGAAUAUCAAUGGCGAAGGCAGCCCCCUGGGAUCAUAUUGACGCUCAUGCACGAAAGCGUGGGGAGCAAACAGGAUUAGAUACCCCAGUAGUC
rnacentral:rRNA from 1 species